rnacentral:lncRNA from 1 species
UAGAUCAUUUAAUAAAACUUUAUACAAGUCAAACAUAUAUAUUGGAACAUACCAUGUACAAUACUAAAAUAGUAUGCUAUAUUAUGCCAGUCCAGUCAUUGAAUGAUGACUGGACUUGCAAAUUUAAAUGGCUGCUGAGAGACUUUUGUUGUGAGCCUGGCAUUGAAAAGGGCCCUGUGUGUCACAUGGCAUGUCCAAUAGUUCACAGGCUGUCACAAGAGUGCACUGUCUACCAUCCAAAGCAAUUGUGUCAAAAUCAAGUGUAUUACCUAUAAUAGUAUUUUGAUAGACGAAGGUUUUGUGAUUGUAAAAUGUGCAGAUUGUCUAGUGUAGGCCAUGUGUGGUAUAUAAUUUUCAAAUUUUGAAUUUAUUGUACACUUUUCUAAAAUAAACAAUUAAUGCUUUAUAUGAC